UGGCUAUUUUUGUAUUAUGCUACUCUGGAUCUUAUUUAAACCAGUUUUAGUUGACUUUGUCUGAUGAUGCUCUGGCAUAAGAAGGGAGGAGAGGACACUGCUUCAUUACUGCCAGGUGGAGGUCGAAGUUCAAGUUCUCCAUUUUGCCUGCACCGACACCUGAGGGCCAAGCCAGCAAGCACUACCUCCAUGCUUAUCUCCAGGAUGUGACCAAGGAAAGUGGUAUCUCCUGGCAGUGGAUUAACUGGGAAAUGCACAUUGGGAGGUGCACAGCAGACAUGCCUGGGGGCCUAGGAAUUAUAUGCCCACCAACCCAAUAUUCUGAUAUAACACACCCUCAAGAAAUAAUAAUCUUGCCCUGGUUGGA